UCAAACUUGGUCAUUUAGAGGAAGUAAAAGUCGUAACAAGGUUUCCAACGGUAGCCUUGAAUAGCAAAAGCGAAAGCUUAGUGCUAGUCUACAAUGGUAGGCAACACCAUCAAAUUGUCGGGAACACCCUAAAGCUCUGACUACCAAACCAGCGUCGAAAGAUUACUGGCGGCCAGGUUAAUAACCUCGGAUACGGUAAAAAUGUCAGAGAUGUCACAAUGGGUUACCUGCAGCCAAGCUCUAAGUCAACUAUGAAAGUAGGGAUCACAAGAGGAAAGCCUUGCUAGAGAGCUUGUGAUUUAUACCUUGUGUAUAAGGAAUCAACGUUCCGUAGGUGAACCUGCGGAAGGAUCAUUAACAAAUCAAAUACACAUGAUCUCCUGGCUUCGGCUGGGAGCAUCUAACACACGAUAUAUGUUGACGAAAAUUGAGACGAUCAAUAGAAUCAACUUUUAACAAUGGAUCUCUUGGCUCUUGCAUCGAUGAAGAACGCAGC
rnacentral:misc_RNA from 1 species